UGGCAGGCUUAGUCACGUGGCUACUUCGUUUACUCAAACAAUUGAUUUUCACUCAGUCUGGUUGGUUCCGACCAAGAACCACGGACGCUGUCCUGCUUUUUG
rnacentral:vault_RNA from 1 species